rnacentral:rRNA from 1 species
UACGUAGGGGGCUAGCGUUGUCCGGAAUCAUUGGGCGUAAAGCGCGCGUAGGCGGUCAGGUAAGUCCGGUGUGAAAGUCAAAGGCUCAACCUUUGAAUGCCGCUGGAUACUGCUUGACUUGAGUCCGGAAGGGGCGAGUGGAAUUCCUGGUGUAGCGGUGAAAUGCGCAGAUAUCAGGAAGAACACCCGUGGCGAAGGCGGCUCUCUGGUACGUGACUGACGCUGAGACGCGAAAGCGUGGGGAGCAAACAGG